UCUUAGUUGGCGGCUGCUCCAGAGAACAUUAUCUUUGGCAUAUCUAGCUAUUCUACAUGCCUACGGCUGAGACCCGAACUUUGUAACAGGCAUUAAAGAUGGAAAGCUGCCAGCUGCACAACUGUCCUGCAGGGAAACUCAGAGGAAGUCAGACCAGCUGACCUUGAAGAAACUAAAGCCCAACUGUAAACUGUCUCUAAAAUGAGCUCUUAGUCCAGCUGGCAUGGUGACUACAGCCUUUUGAGACUAAGCAGGGACCAAGUAAAUGUGCCUGGACUUCUGAGCCACACAAGCAAUGAGAUGAGAAAACUGAGGUC